CCUCCUACGGGACGCAGCAGUGGGGAAUAUUGCGCAAUGGGGGAAACCCUGACGCAGCAACGCCGCGUGCAGGAAGAAGGUCUUCGGAUUGUAAACCUCUGUGGAGGGGGACGAUAAUGACGGUACCCCUUUAGGAAGCCACGGCUAACUACGUGCCAGCAGCCGCGGUAAUACGUAGGUGGCGAGCGUUGUCCGGAAUUACUGGAUGUAAAGGGAGUGUAGGCGGGAAAGCAAGUCAGAAGUGAAAACUAUGGGCUUAACCCAUAGCCUGCUUUUGAAACUGUUUUUCUUUAGUGAAGUAGAGG
rnacentral:rRNA from 1 species